rnacentral:rRNA from 1 species
AGAGCGUAGGGAGAAUGCCUAGGUACCAAGAGCCGAAGAAGGACGUGAUAAGCUGCGAAAAGCCACGGGGAGGAGCAAAUAUCCAUCGAGCCGUGGGUGUCCGAAUGAGGGAACUCAUACAGUAAAAAAAGACUGUAUAUCCAUACAUGAGUAAAGUAGUGUAUAGGAAGGGAACGUGGGGAACUGAAACAUCUUAGUACCCAUAGGAAAAGAAAGUAACAACGAUUCCUGAAGUAGUGGCGAGCGAAACAGGAAGAGCCCAAACCAUGGAUAGUAAUAUUUGUGGGGUUCGGAUUAUCAAUAAAGCCAAGAAUGAUGUUAGUAGAAUUACCAGGGAAGGUAAACCAAAGAAGGUGAAAGUCCUGUAUAUGAAAACAGAGUGAAGGCGAGAUAAAUCCAGAGUAGUGCGAGACACGAGAAAUCUCGUAUGAAAGAGCGGAGACCAUUCCGUAAGGCUAAAUACUACUUGGUAACCGAUAGAGAACAAGUACCGUGAGGGAACGGUGAAAAGGACCCCGGGAGGGGAGUGAAAGAGAACCUGAAACCCUAUGUUUACAAGCAGAUAGAGCGAUUUAAGGCGCGAUAUCGUACUUUUUGUAGAACGGUCCAGCGAGUUAUUGUAUAUGGCGAGGUUAAGUUCUGAAUAAGGAAUGGAGCCGAAGAGAAAUCGAGUCUGAAGAGGGCGAUAUAAGUCAUAUAUAAUAGACCCGAAACCGGGUGACCUAUCCAUGGUCAGGAUGAAGCUGAAGUAAAAUUCAGUGGAGGUCCGAACUGAUUGUCGUUAAAAAGGCACCGGAUGAACUGUGGAUAGCGGAGAAAUUCCAAUCGAACUCGGAGAUAGCUGGUUCUCCUCGAAAUAGCUUUAGGGCUAGCCUUGAGGUCAAAGAAUUAUGGGGGUAGAGCACUGAAUGAGGUAGGGGCCAAACCAGGUUACCAAACUCUAUCAAACUACGAAUACCAUAAUUAGAAUACUCAGGAGUCAGACUGCGGGAGCUAAGUUCCGUGGUCAAAAGGGAAAGAGCCCAGACCGACAAUUAAGGUCCCAAAGAUAUAGUUAAGUGGAAAACGAUGUGAAUUUGCAUAAACAACCAGGAUGUUGGCUCAGAAGCAGCCACUCAUUCAAAGAGUGCGUAACAGCUCACUGGUCGAGUGAAUUUGCGCGGAAAAUUACCGGGGCUAAACUAUACACCGAAAUUUCGGAUUUAGGAACUAUGUUCCUAAGUGGUAGAGGAGCAUUCUGUAGUAGGAAGAAGUCAAAGCGAGAGCAUUGGUGGACGAAGCAGAAGAGAGAAUGCUGGAAUAAGUAGCGAGAGCAAGGUGAGAAUCCUUGCCGUCGAAAGUCUAAGGUUUCCUGGGGAAGGUUCGUCCGCCCAGGGUAAGUCGGGGCCUAAGGAGAGGCCGAAAGGCGUAUCUGAUGGAUAGCAGGUGGAGAUUCCUGCACUAUAGCUAGUUUUAAAAGAUGCAAGGGACGCAGUAGAGGAAGAUAACCAAGGAAGAGGAAAAACUUGGUCCGCAAGGGAUAGUGAAAAUUAAUAGUAACGAAAUAUCAAGAAUCACACUGACGAGAAAAGCUUGUAGAUAUUAACUAGAAAUACCCGUACCGCAAACCGACACAGGUAGAUGAGGAGAGGAUCCUAAGACGAGCGGGAGAAGCAUUGUUAAGGAACUCGGCAAAAUAACCCCGUAACUUCGGGAGAAGGGGAGCCUAAGUAAAAUUAGGUCGCAGAGAAAAGGCCCAAGCAACUGUUUAACAAAAACACAGGUUUCUGCAAAAUCGAAAGAUGAAGUAUAGGAGCUGACGCCUGCCCAGUGCUGGAAGGUUAAGGGAAAGAGUUAGAGUAAUCGAAGCUUAGAACUGAAGCCCCAGUGAACGGCGGCCGUAACUAUAACGGUCCUAAGGUAGCGAAAUUCCUUGUCAGGUAAGUUCUGACCCGCACGAAAGGCGUAAUGAUUUGGGCACUGUCUCGACAAUGUACCCGGCGAAAUUGUAGUACUAGUGAAGAUGCUAGUUACCUGCGACAAGACAGAAAGACCCCAUGGAGCUUUACUGCAGUUUGAUACUGGGUUUCGGCAAGUUAUGUACAGGAUAGGUGGGAGACUAAGAAAGAAAGGCGUCAGCUUUUCCGGAGUCACCCUUGGGAUACCACCCUUAAUUUGUUGGAAUUCUAACUAGUGGUCAUGAUCUGGCCAGAGGACAAUGUCAGACGGGCAGUUUGACUGGGGCGGUCGCCUCCAAAAGAGUAACGGAGGCGCCCAAAGGUUCCCUCAGUGCGGACAGAAAUCGCACGAAAGAGUGUAAAGGCAGAAGGGAGCUUAACUGGAAGAUAGACAUAUCGAGCAGAUACGAAAGUAGGGCUUAGUGAUCCGGUGGAAAUUGAAUGGAAAAGCCAUCGCUCAACGGACAAAAGUUACCCUGGGGAUAACAGGCUUAUCUCCCCCAAGAGUUCACAUCGACGGGGAGGUUUGGCACCUCGAUGUCGGCUCAUCGCAUCCUGGAGCGGAAGUACGUUCCAAGGGUUGGGCUGUUCGCCCAUUAAAGCGGUACGCGAGCUGGGUUCAGAACGUCGUGAGACAGUUCGGUCCUUAUCUGUCGCAGGCGGAAGAUAUUUGAGAGGAGCUGUCCUUAGUACGAGAGGACCAGGAUGGACAUACCGAUGGUGUAUCAGUUGUCACACCAGUGGCACGGCUGAGUAGCCAAGUAUGGAAGGGAUAAACGCUGAAAGCAUCUAAGUGUGAAGCCCACCUCAAGAUAAGAUAUCUCAUAUCGU